GUGAGGAAUUUUCCGCAAUGGGCGAAAGCCUGACGGAGCAAUGCCGCGUGAAGGAUGAAGGCCUAUGGGUUGUAAACUUCUUUUCUCAGAAAAGAAUUAUGACGGUAUCUGAGGAAUAAGCAUCGGCUAACUCUGUGCCAGCAGCCGCGGUAAGACAGAGGAUGCAAGCGUUAUCCGGAAUGAUUGGGCGUAAAGCGUCUGUAGGUUGUUUAAAAAGUAUUCUGUCAAAGAUUAGGGCUUAACCCUAGAUAGGCAGAAUAAACUUUUAAGCUAGAGUUUGGUAGAGGCAGAGGGAAUUCACGGUGGAGCGGUGAAAUGCGUAGAUAUCGGGAGGAAAACCAAAGGCGAAGGCACUCUGCUGGGCCAAUACUAACACUGAGAGACGAAAGCGAGGGGAGCAAAUGGGAUUAGAUACCCGGGUAGUUCC
rnacentral:rRNA from 1 species